GGUCAGGUGUCCGAGUCUGGUUUAUGGUGUCUGUCUUGAAAACAGAUGUGCGGAAACGCACCGUGGGUUCAAAUCCUACUCUGACCG
rnacentral:tRNA from 1 species